GACGAACGCUGGCGGCGUGCCUAAUACAUGCAAGUCGAACGCAGUGGGGACGGGUGAGUAACACGUGGGUAACCUCCCAUCAGAGGGGAUAACACUUGGAAACAGGUGCUAAACCGAUACUGAUGGAUGAACCCGCGGUGCAUUAGCUAGUUGGUGAGGUAACGGCUCACCAAGGCCACGAUGCAUAGCCGAGCGGGGAGGGUGAGCGGCCACACUGGGGCUGAGAUACGGCCCAGACUCCUACGGGAGGCAGUAGUAGGGAAUCGUCGGCAAGGGACGAAAGUCUGACCGAGCAACGCCGCGUGAGUGAAGAAGGUUUUCGGAUCGUAAAACUCUGUUGUUAGAGAAGCGGUAUCUAACAAGAAAGCCACGGCUAACUACGUGCCAGCCGCCGCGGCGG
rnacentral:rRNA from 1 species